rnacentral:lncRNA from 1 species
GUGAAGACGUACGGGCCGCCGUCGGAAUCACUCAAGUGACCUGCUCUCAUAUAGAAUUCUCUGAUCAACUCUAAACAGAAACCAGUUUGUUCCGGAAAAUCACAAAUCUGAUGAAGAUUUUCUUUUUCAAAUAAAUCCUGAAAUCCCGGCACACAGCUAAUAAUACUGGCAACGCCAACAUCGCGUUCACCAAUACAAUGCUUCGACGAGUACAUUGACCG